rnacentral:lncRNA from 1 species
UUUUUUUUCGUAGUUUCAUUUUCUCUUUCUUGAGUCAUAGGAAACACCGUACUGUUAAAGGGGGUCGAGGAAAUACUAAGGAAAAAUUUCCAUGUGAUGCUCAACUCAAAUCCUACACCUACCAAUCCCUUCGAGUGAAGCCAUUGGAAAUCUCAUACAGUUCAGUCAUAUUCUUCAGUGACAGAGACGAAGUUCUUCUGGUCUCUGAGGAAUUUGUUCUGACUGAGGAGUUAGGAAUUCGCCAGUGCGGAUUGCCUACACAGUGAGGAACAUGAUAGCCCUGAGGAAUUUGAACCUCAAAUUUCCGACCGUUGCUGUGUUAUGCCCCAGCUGUCCCAAAAUAUCUACCCAUCUAACGGUCAUAUCAUUGAAGGGCAUUUAUGUCUUAUCAUACGGGCUGGUUGGCUAUAAAUAGGCUAUAAAUAGCCACCCCCUACAACCACUAGCUGGUUGGCUGCUCCGAGAGAAACUGACAUUUGUCAUUUGAGAGCGUCCCAUCCUCUGAGGACUUUGAGCGAAAAUCAUCAAGUGAGGAAAAACCCCAAACCCAAACACCUACAAACCCAAAGUGAUUGAGCAUCACUGAAGAGAUUGAUCCUGCGUGGAUCCGACGCUUGUUAUCUUUGAAGACUGUGCUUCUUCCAGACGGUUAGGCGUCAUGGUCUGGAGCAUCCAAGAGGAAAUUGUGGAUCGCCGAGUGACCGAGUUUGUGAAGGUUCGGAAGUCACCUGAAAACUUACCAUGAGUGAUUGGACGAGGUCUGUGUGACCUUAGUUCAAGGAGAAUACGGUGAGGACUGUGUGUCCGGGACUGGGUGUCCUCAGGUUUAAAUACCUAGCCGCUCCAACCAGAUGUACAACUGAGACAGCAGUUGGCACUGGUCUACCAAAUCAUUGUCUUCACCAAGCCAACUGGUUCUAUUUCCUCAACUCUUUCAUUUCCUCAUUCCUGUAUUGUGCAAUUGUUCAUAUCUGUGUUUGAAGACUUUGACUGAAGACUUUCUCAAUUUCCUCAGUCUGUUUGUCUUCAUCCUGUGUUAUCAUGUGUUUACGCUUUCUGUACUCUGUGCUUGUUUUCAUUUCAUCAUGAUGACUAUGCUUGUGCUCUGCUAUGCAUACUUUUGAGUACUUAUUCCGCUGCAAGUAGUUCUUCGCUAAGGAAUUUCCUCACCCACAAAUUCCUCAGUGAAGAAUUUAUAAAAAUCGCCUAUUCACCCCCUCUAGUCGAUAUAACGCACUUUCAAUUGGUAUCAGAGCAAGGUACUUCCUUGUUCUGUGUGAUUUUGGUUUAACCACCCGGAGUUUUAGUUAUGUCGAUCACAGGUAUGAAGAAAGUGACAUGUCCCAUCUUUGACGGUCAUGAUUAUCCCAAGUGGAAGGCCAUGAUGAAGAAGCGCCUCAUGGCGAUGAAUAGCGAGCUGUGGACCGUCACCGAGAUUGGUCUUACCGAUCUGUGCAAGACGGCGGAAGCUGAUGACAUUCGCAAGUACCCUAUUCUCAACCUCACGGCGAAGGGCGUCAUCUGCUCCUGUCUGUCUCAAAAUCAGUUCAAGAACGUUAUGCAUCUCGAUCAGGCGAAGCUUAUCUGGGACCAUCUCUCUUAUGUCUAUGAAGGUCAUCGAACCCAUCAUGAUCCUUGGUUUGAGGACUUCAAGGAAUCUCUCAAAUCAAUGACAUUCGAACCAGAAUCAUCAUCCUCCUCACCAUGCCUUAUGGCAGAUGGUGAAAAGGUAACUGAAUGCUAUCUGUCUGAAUCUAGUGAUGAUGAAUCUGAUGAUGAAUUAGGACCCAGUUAUGUCAAGCUUGUUUCCCUUGCUGCUAAACAACAAAGAGCUUUGGAAAAGGUUCAAAACAUGCUUAGUAAGAGCGAUGAUAUGUUGGGUGAAGAAAUAGAUCAGUCAAAAGCUUUGGCUGAAAGUCUUCAGAGACUUCAUACUAAGUAUGACACCCUUCAAGAUCAACAUAACACUCUCUUAUCCGAUCAUGAGAAGCUUUCUUAUGAAUUUCUUCAAAGAAAGCAAGAUCUAGAGAAGCUAAAAGUGAGUUAUGAAGAUCUUCAGAAGGAGCGCGAUUCAUUACUUGCUCAACAAAUCAGCGCUGCUCAGGAAGAAUUUGUUCCUCCAUGUUUGAAAUGCAUUGAACGUGAAUCUGCUAAUUCUUCACCUGAAUGUUCAAAUGCUUGUAAUGCUACAAAUUCUUCAAUUGUCUCUGCUAUCACUAAUUCCUUAUCUGAGGACAUUGAUAGUAUCACUGAUGAUGCAGGGCUGAAGGAAUUGUAUAUGACAAGCAUGUACAAAAGCCUCAAAGGGCAUCAGACUCUUUGUGAUGUGCUUAAAAACCAGAUCCUCAGCAGGAACCCUAGGAAAGAGGGUAUUGCCUUUGAGAGGAAACUCAAUGCUGAUGGUGCAUAUUGGAAGCCUGAGCAGUACCCCAAAACCUCAUGGGUUGCUGCAAAGGGACCUCCAGUUGAUCCAUCUAAUUUAUCUGGCUUUACAUGUGAAUCUUCUCAUUCUUCUGAUGAGUCAGUUGACUCCAACUAUAAACUGUUCAAAAAUCAGAAUGGUGAAGUAUUUGCUAGAUAUGUUGGCACUAACUGCAGGAACGGUUCCCCUGUUGGAAAUAUGCCCUAGAGGCAAUAAUAAAAGGUUAUUAUUAUAUUUCUUUGUUCAUGAUAAUCGUCUAUUAUUCAUGCUAUAAUUGUAUUGUCCGGAAAUCGUAAUACAUGUGUGAAUACAUAGACCACAACGUGUCCCUAGUAAGCCUCUAGUUGACUAGCUCGUUGAUCAACAGAUAGUCAUGGUUUCCUGACUAUGGACAUUGGAUGUCAUUGAUAACGGGAUCACAUCAUUAGGAGAAUGAUGUGAUGGACAAGACCCAAUCCUAAGCAUAGCAUAAAAGAUCGUGUAGUUUCGUUUGCUAGAGCUUUUCCAAUGUCAAGUAUCUUUUCCUUAGACCAUGAGAUCGUGCAACUCCCGGAUACCGUAGGAGUGCUUUGGGUGUGCCAAACGUCACAACGUAACUGGGUGACUAUAAAGGUGCGUUACGGGUAUCUCCGAAAGUGUCUGUUGGGUUGGCACGGAUCGAGACUGGGAUUUGUCACUCCGUGUGACGGAGAGGUAUCUCUGGGCCCACUCGGUAAUGCAUCAUCAUAAUGAGCUCAAUGUGACUAAGGCGUUAGUCACGGGAUCAUGCAUUGCGGUACGAGUAAAGAGACUUGCCGGCAACGAGAUUGAACAAGGUAUUGGGAUACCGACGAUCGAAUCUCGGGCAAGUAACAUACCGAUUGACAAAGGGAAUUGCAUACGGAUUGAUUGAAUCCUCGACACCGUGGUUCAACCGAUGAGAUCAUCGUGGAACAUGUGGGAGCCAACAUGGGUAUCCAGAUCCCGCUGUUGGUUAUUGUCCGGAGAGGCGUCUCGGUCAUGUCUGCAUGUCUCCCGAACCCGUAGGGUCUACACACUUAAGGUCCGGUGACGCUAGGGUUGUAGAGAUAUAUGUAUGCGGAAACCCGAAAGUUGUUCGGAGUCCCGGAUGAGAUCCCGGAUGUCACGAGAGGUUCCGGAAUGGUCCGGAGGUGAAGAAUUAUAUAUAGGAAGUCAAGUUUCGGCCACCGGGAAAGUUUCGGGGGUUACCGGUAUUGUACCGGGACCACCGGAAGGGUCCCGGGGGUCCACCGGGUGGGGCCACCUAUCCCGGAGGGCCCCGUGGGCUGAAAGUGGAAGGUAACCAGCCCUUAGUGGGCUGGGGCGCCCCCCUUGGGCCUCCCCCCAUGCGCCUAGGGUUGGGAACCCUAGGGGGGAGCUUCCCCCUUGCCUUGGGGGGCAAGGCAACCCCUUCCCCCCUUGGCCGCCGCGCCCCCUUGGAGAUCCCAUCUCCCAGGGCUGGCGCACCCCCCAGGGGCCUAUAUAAAGGGGGGGAGGGAGGGCAGCAACCUACAGCCUUGGGCGCCUCCCUCCUCCCCUGCAACACCUCUCUCUCUCUCUCUCGCAGAAGCUCGGCGAAGCCCUGCCGGAGAGCCGCUACAUCCACCACCACGCCGUCGUGCUGUUGGAUCUCCAUCAACCUCUCCUUCCCCCUUGCUGGAUCAAGAAGGAGGAGACGUCGAUGCACCGUACGUGUGUUGAACGCGGAGGUGCCGUCCGUUCGGCACUCGGUCAUCGGUGAUUUGGAUCAUGGCGAGUACGACUCCGUCAUCCACGUUGAUUGGAACGCUUCCGCUCGCGAUCUACAAGGGUAUGUAGAUGCACUCCUUUCCCCUCGUUGCUAGUAGACUCCAUAGAUGCAUCUUGGUGAGCGUAGGAAAAUUUAAAAAUUAUGCUACGAUUCCCAACAGUGGCAUCAUGAGCCAGGCCUAUGCGUAGUUACUAUGCACGAGUAGAACACAAAGCAGUUGUGGGCGUUGAGUUUGCCAAUUCUACUUGCCGCUACUAGUCUUUUCUUGUUUCGGCGGCAUUGUAGGAUGAAGCGGCCCGGACCGACCUUACACGUACACUUACGUGAGACAGGUUCCACCGACUGACAUGCACUAGAUGCAUAAGGUGGCUAGCGGGUGUCUGUCUCUCCAACUUUAGUCGAAACGGAUUCGAUGAAAAGGGUCCUUAUGAAGGGUAAAUAGAAAUUGGCAAAUCACGUUGUGGUCAUACGUAGGUAAGAAACAUUCUUGCUAGAAACCUACAAACCACGUAAAAAAAACUUGCAACAACAAUUAGAGGACGUCUAACUUGUUUUUGCAGCAAGUGCUAUGUGAUGUGAUAUGGCCAGAAGAUGUGAUGAAUGAUAUAUGUGAUGUAUGAGAUGAUCAUAUUCUUGUAAUAGGAAUCACGACUUGCAUGUCGAUGAGUAUGACAACCGGCAGGAGCCAUAGGAGUUGUCUUUAUUAUUUUGCAUGACCUGCGUGUCAUUGAAUAACGCCAUGUAAAUUACUUUACUUUGUUGCUAAACGGGUUAGCCAUAGAAGUAGAAGUAAUCGUUGGCGUGACGACUUCAUGAAGACACAAUGAUGGAGAUCAUGAUGAUGGAGAUCAUGGUGUCAUGCCGGUGACAAAGAUGAUCAUGGUGCCCCGAAGAUGGAGAUCAAAGGAGCAUGAUGAUAUUGGCCAUAUCAUGUCACUAUUUGAUUGCAUGUGAUGUUUAUCAUGUUUUUGCAUCUUAUUUGCUUAGAACGACGGUAGCAAGUAGGAUGAUCCCUUAUAAUAAUUUCAAGAAAGUGUUCACCCUAACUGUGCACCGUUGCGAAGGUUCGUUGUUUCGAAGCACCACGUGAUGAUCGGGUGUGAUAGAUUCUAACGUUCGAAUACAACGGGUGUUGACGAGCCUAGCAUGUACAGACAUGGCCUCGGAACACACGCAAUACACUUAGGUUGACUUGACGAGCCUAGCAUGUACAGACAUGGCCUCGGAACACGGAGGACCGAAAGGUCGAGCAUGAGUCGUAUAGAAGAUACGAUCAACAUGGAGAUGUUCACCGAUCUUGACUAGUCCGUCUCAUGUGAUGAUCGGACACGGCCUAGUUAAGCUCGGAUCAUGUUUCAGUUAGAUGACGAGAGGGAUGUCUAUCUGAGUGGGAGUUCAUUAAAUAAUUUGAUUAGAUGAACUCAAUUAUCAUGAACUUAGUCUAAAAUCUUUACACUAUGUCUUGUAGAUCAAAUGGCCAACGUUGUCCUCAAUUUCAACGCGUUCCUAGAGAAAACCAAGCUGAAAGAUGAUGGCAGCAACUAUACGGACUGGGUCCGGAACCUGAGGCUCAUCCUUAUAGUAGCCAAGAAAGAUUAUGUCUUAGAAGCACCGCUAGGUGAUGCACCAAUCCCACAGAACCAAGACGUUAUGAACGCUUGGCAAUCACGUGCUGAUGAUUACUCCCUCGUUUAGUGCGGCAUGCUUUACAGCUUAGAACCGGGUCUCCAAAAGCGUUUUGAGAAACAUGGAGCAUAUGAGAUGUUCGAGGAGCUGAAACUGGUUUUUCAAGCUCAUGCCCGGGUCGAGAGAUAUGAUGUCUCCGACAAGUUCUUCAGCUGUAAAAUGGAGGAGAAUAGUUCUGUUAGUGAGCACAUACUCAGAAUGUCUGGGUUGCACAACCGCUUGUCUCAGCUGGGAGUUAAUCUCCCGGAUGACGCGGUCAUUGACAGAAUCCUCCAGUCGCUUCCACCAAGCUACAAGAGCUUUGUGAUGAACUACAAUAUGCAGGGGAUGGAAAAGACCAUUCCUUAAGUAUAUUCAAUGCUGAAAUCAGCGGAAGGGGAGAUCAGAAAAGAACAUCAAGUGUUGAUGGUGAAUAAAACCACCAAGUUCAAGAAGGGCAAGGGUAAGAAGAACUUCAAGAAGGACGGCAAGGGAGUUGCCGCGCCCGGUAAACCAGUUACUGGGAAGAAGUCAAAGAAUGGACCCAAACCCGGGACUGAGUGCUUUUAUUGCAAGGGAAGUGGUCACUGGAAGCGGAACUGCCCCAAAUAUUUAGCGGACAAGAAGACGGCCGGCAACACCCAAGGUAUAUGUGAUAUACAAGUAAUUGAUGUGUACCUUACCAGUACUCGUAGUAGCUCCUGGGUAUUUGAUACCGGUGCCGUUGCUCAUAUUUGUAACUCAAAGUAGGAACUACGGAAUAAACGGAGACUGGCAAAGGACGAGGUGACGAUGCGCGUCGGGAAUGGUUCCAAGGUCGAUGUGAUCGCUGUCGGCACGCUACCUCUGCAUCUACCCAUGGGAUUAGUUUUAAACCUCAAUAAUUGUUAUUUAGUGCCAGCUUUGAGCAUGAACAUUGUAUCUGGAUCUCGUUUAAUUCGAGAUGGCUACUCAUUUAAAUCCGAGAAUAAUGUUUGUUCUAUUUAUUUGAGAGAUAUGUUUUAUGGUCAUGCCCCGCUGGUCAAUGGUUUAUUUUUGAUGAAUCUCGAACGUGAUGUUACACAUGUUCAUAGUGUGAAUACCAAAAGAUGUAAAGUUGAUAACGAUAGUCCCACAUACUUGUGGCACUGCCGCCUUGGUCACAUUGGUGUCAAGCGCAUGAAGAAGCUCCAUGCUGAUGGACUUUUGGAGUCUCUUGAUUACGAAUCAUUUGACACGUGCGAACCAUGCCUCAUAGGUAAGAUGACCAAGACUCCGUUCUCCGGAACAAUGGAGCGAGCAACCAACCUAUUGGAAAUCAUACAUACUGAUGUGUGUGGUCCAAUGAGUGUUGAGGCUCGCGGAGGAUAUCGUUAUGUUCUCACUCUCACUGAUGAUUUAAGUAGAUAUGGAUAUGUCUACCUGAUGAAACACAAGUCUGAAACCUUUGAAAAGUUCAAAGAAUUUCAGAGUGAGGUUGAGAAUCAACGUGACAAGAGAUAAAAUUCCUACGAUCAGAUCGUGGUGGAGAAUAUUUAAGUCACGAGUUUGGUGCACACUUAAGGAAAUGUGGAAUAGUUUCACAACUCACGCCGCCUGGAACACCUCAGAGAAAUGGUGUGUCCGAACGUCGUAAUCGCACUCUAUUGGAUAUGGUGCGAUCUAUGAUGUCUCUUACCGAUUUACCGCUCUCAUUUUGGGGUUAUGCUUUAGAGACUGCCGCAUUCACUUUAAAUAGGGCUCCGUCGAAAUCCGUUGAGACGACACCGUAUGAAUUAUGGUUUGGGAAGAAACCUAAGCUGUCGUUUCUAAAAGUUUGGGGAUGCGAUGCUUAUGUCAAGAAACUUCAACCUGAAAAGCUCGAACCCAAAUCGGAAAAAUGCGUCUUCAUAGGAUACCCUAAGGAAACUAUUGGGUACACCUUCUACCUCAGAUCCGAAGGCAAGAUCUUCGUUGCCAAGAACGGGUCCUUUCUAGAGAAGGAGUUUCUCUCGAAAGAAUUGAGUGGGAGGAAAGUGGAACUUGAUGAGGUGAUAGUCACCCCUUCCGAGUCGGAAAAUAGCGCAGCGCGGGAAAAUGUUCCUGUGGUGCCUACACCGACGGGGGAGGAAGUUAAUGAUGAUGAUCAUGAAGCUUCGGAUCAAGUUGCCACUGAACUUCGUAGGUCCACAAGGACACGUUCCGCACCAGAGUGGUACGGCAACCCUGUCCUGGAAGUCAUGUUGUUAGACAACGGUGAACCUUCGAACUAUGAAGAAGCGAUGGCGGGCCCGGAUUCCGACAAAUGGCUAGAAGCCAUGAAAUCCGAGAUAGAAUCCAUGUAUGAAAACAAAGUAUGGACUUUGACUGACUUGCCCGAUGAGCGGCGAGCCAUAGAAAACAAAUGGAUCUUUAAGAAGAAGACGGACGCAGAUGGUAAUGUGACCAUCUACAAAGCUCGACUUGUCGCUAAGGGUUAUCGACAAGUUCAAGGGGUUGACUACGAUGAGACUUUCUCACCCGUAGCGAAGCUGAAGUCCGUCCGAAUCAUGUUAGCAAUUGCCGCAUACUAUGAUUAUGAGAUAUGGCAGAUGGACGUCAAAACGGCAUUCCUUAACGGCUUCCUUAAGGAAGAGUUGUAUAUGAUGCAGCCGGAAGGUUUUGUUGAUCCUAAGAAUGCUAACAAAGUAUGCAAGCUCCAGCGCUCAAUCUAUGGGCUGGUGCAAGCAUCUCGGAGUUGGAACAUUCGCUUUGAUGAGAUGAUCAAAGCGUUUGGGUUUACACAGACUUAUGGAGAAGCCUGUGUUUACAAGAAAGUGAGUGGGAGCUCUGUAGCAUUUCUCAUAUUAUAUGUGGAUGACAUACUAUUGAUGGGAAAUGAUAUAGAAUUCUUGGAAAGUAUAAAGGCCUAUUUGAAUAAGUGUUUUUCAAUGAAGGACCUUGGAGAAGCUGCUUAUAUAUUAGGCAUCAAAAUCUAUAGAGAUAGAUCAAGACGCCUCAUUGGUCUUUCACAGAGUACAUACCUUGACAAGAUAUUGAAGAAGUUCAGUAUGGAUCAGUCCAAGAAGGGGUUCUUGCCUGUAUUGCAAGGUGUGCAAUUGAGCACGGCUCAAUGCCCGACCACGGCAGAAAAUAUAGAAGAGAUGAGUGUCAUCCCCUAUGCCUCGGCCAUAGGGUCUAUUAUGUAUGCCAUGCUGUGUACCAGACCUGAUGUAAACCUUGCUGUAAGUUUGGUAGGAAGGUACCAAAGUAAUCCCGGCAAGGAACACUGGACAGCGGUCAAGAAUAUCCUGAAGUACCUGAAGAGGACUAAGGACAUGUUUCUCAUUUAUGGAGGUGACGAAGAGCUCGUCGUAAAGGGUUACGUCGACGCUAGCUUCGACACAGAUCUGGAUGACUCGAAGUCACAGACCGGAUACGUGUAUAUUUUGAAUGGAGGAGCAGUAAGCUGGUGCGGUUGCAAGCAAAGCGUCGUGGCGGGAUCUACAUGUGAAGCGGAGUACAUGGCAGCCUCGGAGGCAGCACAGGAAGCAGUCUGGAUGAAGGAGUUCAUUACCGACCUAGGGGUGAUUCCCAAUGCGUCGGGCCCAAUGACUCUCUUCUGUGACAACACUGGAGCUAUUGCCCUUGCGAAGGAGCCCAGGUUUCACAGGAAGACCAGGCAUAUCAAGCGUCGCUUCAACUCCAUUUGUGAAAGUGUUCAAAAAUGGAGACAUAGAUAUUUGUAAAGUACAUACGGACCUGAAUGUAGCAGAUCCGUUGACUAAACCUCUCCCUAGGGCAAAACAUGAUCAACACCAGGACGCAAUGGGUGUUCGAUUCAUCACAAUGUAACUAGAUUAUUGACUCUAGUGCAAGUGGGAGACUGUUGGAAAUAUGCCCUAGAGGCAAUAAUAAAAGGUUAUUAUUAUAUUUCUUUGUUCAUGAUAAUCGUCUAUUAUUCAUGCUAUAAUUGUAUUGUCCGGAAAUCGUAAUACAUGUGUGAAUACAUAGACCACAACGUGUCCCUAGUAAGCCUCUAGUUGACUAGCUCGUUGAUCAACAGAUAGUCAUGGUUUCCUGACUAUGGACAUUGGAUGUCAUUGAUAACGGGAUCACAUCAUUAGGAGAAUGAUGUGAUGGACAAGACCCAAUCCUAAGCAUAGCAUAAAAGAUCGUGUAAUUUCGUUUGCUAGAGCUUUUUCAAUGUCAAGUAUCUUUUCCUUAGACCAUGAGAUCGUGCAACUCCCGGAUACCGUAGGAGUGCUUUGGGUGUGCCAAACGUCACAACGUAACUGGGUGACUAUAAAGGUGCAUUACGGGUAUCUCCGAAAGUGUCUGUUGGGUUGGCACGGAUCGAGACUGGGAUUUGUCACUCCGUGUGACGGAGAGGUAUCUCUGGGCCCACUCGGUAAUGCAUCAUCAUAAUGAGCUCAAUGUGACUAAGGCGUUAGUCACGGGAUCAUGCAUUGCGGUACGAGUAAAGAGACUUGCCGGUAAUGAGAUUGAACAAGGUAUUGGGAUACCGACGAUCGAAUCUCGGGCAAGUAACAUACCGAUUGACAAAGGGAAUUGCAUACGGAUUGAUUGAAUCCUCGACACCGUGGUUCAUCCGAUGAGAUCAUCGUGGAACAUGUGGGAGCCAACAUGGGUAUCCAGAUCCCGCUGUUGGUUAUUGACCGGAGAGGCGUCUCGGUCAUGUCUGCAUGUCUCCCGAACCCGUAGGGUCUACACACUUAAGGUCCGGUGACGCUAGGGUUGUAGAGAUAUAUGUAUGCGGAAACCCAAAAGUUGUUCGGAGUCCCGGAUGAGAUCCCGGACGUCACGAGAGGUUCCGGAUUGGUCCGGAGGUGAAGAAUUAUAUAUAGGAAGUCAAGUUUCGGCCACCGGGAAAGUUUCGGGGGUUACCGGUAUUGUACCGGGACCACCGGAAGGGUCCCGGGGGUCCACCGGGUGGGGCCACCUGUCCCGGAGAGCCCCGUGGGCUGAAAGUGGAAGGGAACCAGCCCUUAGUGGGCUGGGGCACCCCACUUGGGCCUCCCCCCAUGCGCCUAGGGUUGGGAACCCUAGGGGGGAGCUUCCCCCUUGCCUUGGGGGGCAAGGCACCCCUUUCCACCCCUUGGCCGCCGCCCCCCAACCCUAGAUGGGUUUUGGCCGGCCCCCCCUCCCCCAGGGGCCUAUAUAAAGGGGGAGGGAGGGCAGCAACCUACAGCCUUGGGCGCCUCCCUCCUCCCCUGUUACACCUCUCCGUCUCUCGCAGAAGCUCGGCGAAGCCCUGCCGGAGACCCGCUACAUCCACCACCACGCCGUCGUGCUGCUGGAUCUCCAUCAACCUCUCCUUUCCCCUUGCUGGAUCAAGAAGGAGGAGACGUCACUGCACCGUACGUGUGUUGAACGCGGAGGUGCCGUCCGUUCGGCACUCGGUCAUCGGUGAUUUGGAUCACGGCGAGUACGACUCCGUCAUCCACGUUCAUUGGAACGCUUCCGCUCGCGAUCUACAAGGGUAUGUAGAUGCACUCCUUUCCCCUCGUUGCUAGUAGACUCCAUAGAUGCAUCUUGGUGAGCGUAGGAAAAUUUUAAAUUAUGCUACGAUUCCCAACAGUGGUAUCAGAGCCAGGUCUAUGCGUAGUUACUAUGCACGAGUAGAACACAAAGUAGUUGUGGGNNNNNNNNNNGGGGGGAGGGAGGGCAGCAACCUACAGCCUUGGGCGCCUCCCUCCUCCCCUGCAACACCUCUCUCUCUCUCGCAGAAGCUCGGCGAAGCCCUGCCGGAGAGCCGCUACAUCCACCACCACGCCGUCGUGCUGUUGGAUCUCCAUCAACCUCUCCUUCCCCCUUGCUGGAUCAAGAAGGAGGAGACGUCGCUGCACCGUACGUGUGUUGAACGCGGAGGUGCCGUCCGUUCGGCACUCGGUCAUCGGUGAUUUGGAUCACGGCGAGUACGACUCCGUCAUCCACGUUCAUUGGAACGCUUCCGCUCGCGAUCUACAAGGGUAUGUAGAUGCACUCCUUUCCCCUCGUUGCUAGUAGACUCCAUAGAUGCAUCUUGGUGAGCGUAGGAAAAUUUUGAAAUUAUGCUACGAUUCCCAACAUCCCCUAUGAAGAAAAUUUGGGUUCCCAAAAGGUGCCUUGAAAGUCUUCAGGUGAAUGUCCUCAUGACACCACCUGUGAGGAAUAGGAACCCCAGAUCAAAUUCUUCAUAUGGACCAAAUUCUUCAUAUGGAUCCAAGUCCUCAUACGGACCAAAUUCCUCACGUGGAUCAAAUUCCUCAAAAGGAUCAAAGUCCUCAUAUGAACAUCAUUGUGCUAACAACUCUGUUUCGCAGGGAAGAGCCAAGGGCUAUGAAUAUGAGCAUUAUUCUUCUAAUCAUUAUGCUCAUAAGUCCUCGAAGAAUUUCUCUGCUUAUUCAUAUGCUUACCCUAACUCCUCUUAUGUGAAACGAAAUGGAUUGGCUUCUAUGCCACCCUUCUCUUAUGGAGCUCGCAGAGUGAUGAACUCUUUCUCACCCCUUCAGAUGUGGGUGGUGAAGAAAAAACUAAUCUCUUCUGCAGGGUCAGGUCUCCAGACGUACUUGAACGUCUGAAGAAUUUGCUGGAGACCUGAAGUAUGCCUGAAAGGACGCAGGCUAAUCGUGAAGAAAUGAACUUUCAUUUCUCACGUCCUCAUACUGCUUUAUCUGUUCUAUUGCUUGAUGAAAUUGGUCUGAUGAAUUGACGUCAUAUUCUUCACUGAUGAAGUAUAUGAGUUCGUAAGCUGCACUAAUUCAUCUGCAGGAUGAUCAACCCAAAGCCACUGAGUGGGUCCUCGAUAGUGGAUGUACAAAUCACAUGACUGGUGACAAGAAUCUAUUGAUUGAUGCUCCCUUAUCACCAUCGCAUCUGAAGCAUAUCAUCUUCGCUGACAAAGGCAAAAGUCAGUCUUCGAAGGCUUUAGGAGAGGAGACUUGUAUAUUGUUGAUUUCUCUACAGGACCGCAACCAGCCCUGUGCCUACUUGCAAAAGCUUCAGAAGGAUGGCUAUGGCAUCGACGACUUGGUCAUGCAGGCAUGAGGAAUUUGCACACGCUUGCGAAGAAGAAGCAUGUCAUUGGCAUUGAGAAUGUCAAAUUCCUCAAGGAUCACCUAUGUGGAGCUUGUGAAGCUGGAAAGAUGACCAAGGCUAAGCAUCCAGCGAAGACUAUCAUGACCACUACUCGACCAUUCGAAUUGCUUCACAUGGACCUCUUUGGUCCUAACCAUUACUCAGCUGUCACAAAUGACGCAUCUCUCUAUGGGCUUCUUAUUGUUGAUGAUUACUCUCGUUACACAUGGGUACACAUUGUUACUUACAAACAUGAAGUGCAGGAAGUCUUCAAACGAUUUUCCUCGAGGGCUUCAACCAACUUUGGUGUGAAGAUCAAGCACAUCAGAAGUGACAAUGGAACUGAGUUCAAGAAUUCUGGUCUUGAUGAACUUGGUAUUAGUCAUGACUUAUCUGCUCCUUACACUCCUCAGCAAAAUGGCGUCGUGGAGCGCAAGAACAGAACUCUUGUUGAGAUGGCUCGCACUAUGCUUGAUGAGUACAAGACGCCUCGUCACUUCUGGAUUGAGGCAAUUUAUACCGCGUGCCACAUCAUCAACAGGGUAUAUCUUCACAAUUUCUUCAAGAAGACUGCCUAUGAACUCCUCACUGACAAAAAACCCAAUGUGAGUUAUUUCAAAGUCUUCGGUGCUAAAUGUUGGAUUAGAGAUCCUCAUCACAAUGCUAAAUUUGCACCGAAAGCACAUGAAGGUUUUAUGCUUGGUUACGGAAAGGACUCGCACACCUACAGAGUCUUCAACACCGUUCUUCACAAGGUUGUUGAAACUGUAGAUGUGCGGUUAGAUGAAACUAAUGGCUCGCAAAGAGAGCACCUACCCUCUGUGAUAGAUGAACCAGCACCUGAGGAAACUAUCAAGUUCAAGGCUACUGAGGAUGUCAUUCCUACCAAAGAAUCUGCUGAAGAAUUCAUUCCAGAACGUGAAGAACGUCGAGCUAAUGCACCUGAAGAAAUUGCUGAAGAAAAUGGUGCUGAAGAAAAUGCUGAUCAAAUUUCUCGACGACAACCUACUCAUCCUCGCGUUGCAAAAGAAGUGCAAGUUGAGAAGAUCAUCGAUGACAUUGAAGCACCAGGUCCUCUCACACGCUCAAAAGCUUCACAUUUAUCUAACUUUUGUGGGCACUAUGCUUUUGUCUCUAUCUCAGAGCCCACUAAGGUAGAUGAAGCAUUUCUGGAGCCUGAGUGGAUUCAGGUCAUGCAAGAAGAAUUACAUCAGUUCAAGCUCAACAACGUUUGGGAACUGGUCAAUCGUCCAGAUCCUCGCAAACACAAUAUCAUUGGCACAAAGUGGAUCUACCGCAACAAGCAAGAUGAAAAUGGCCUUGUGGUGAGGAAUAAGGCACGGCUAGUAGCUCAAGGCUACACACAGGCUGAAGGAAUUGAUUUCGAUGAAACUUUUGCACCUGUUGCUAGACUUGAAGCUAUUCGCAUAUUACUUGCUUAUGCUAACCAUCAUGAUAUCACCUUAUAUCAAAUGGAUGUGAAAAGUGCAUUCCUCAAUGGUAAGCUUGAGGAAGAAGUAUAUGUUGCUCAACCCCCAGGUUUUGAAGAUCCUAAGCAUCCUGACAAAGUCUUCAGACUAAAUAAGGCCCUCUAUGGCCUCAAGCAGGCCCCUCGGGCGUGGUAUGAUACUUUGAAGGAAUUCCUCAUGAAGAAAGGCUUCAAACCCGGUUCACCCGACCCUACUCUUUUCACUAAAUCAUAUGAUGAUGAAUUGUUUGUAUGCCAAAUAUAUGUUGAUGACAUCAUCUUUGGCUGUACUGACCAACGUUAUAGUGAUGAAUUUGCCUAUAUGAUGAGUGAAGAAUAUUAAAUGUCUAUGAUGGGAGAGUUGAAAUUCUUCUUAGGUCUUCAAAUUCGUCAACAGCGCAAUGGCAUAUUCAUAUCUCAGGAGAAAUACCUCAAGUAUGUAUUGAGGAAAUUCGGCAUGCAGGAUUGCAAAGGCGUCAAAAUUCCUAUGCCCACUAAUGGCCAUCUGUGCACUAAUGAAAAUGGUAUUGACUUCGAUCAAAAGGUAUACCGCUCCAUGAGGAGUAGAUUGUCUUAUUAGCUCACUAUAAGGACCCAUGUUCAGUUUGCUAGCUACUGCCUUUCCUUAACAAAUUCUAGUGAAUUGUGCUAUCUACUUUUACCAUGCAAUCUUUUGCUAUAGUGUAUAUGUUCUGUAUGUCGUGCAAUGUGGUGUUCAGUUAACUGCUUGAUUCAAUUCUGCAAAUGUGAUGUUCAAUUCUUCAGGGUGCAAUAUUUCCAAGUUGUUAAGCAUGCUUGGUUUGGUUAACUGUCUGAUCUUCUAUUACGAGUAUGUUAUAUUGUGCAAUGUCGUUCUCAGUUAGCGUUUGGUUCAUUUGUUGUGGUGUUUAGUUAACUGCUUGGUUCAAUUCUGCAAUGCGAUGUUCAAUUGUUGUGGCUGCAUUCUGGUAUUGUAUACCAUGUGAGGAAUAAAUCAAAUUUGGUUGUACUAAAUACAUGAGAAACAAAUACAAUUGCUAUAUUUCCAAGUUGUUAAGCAUGCUUGGUUUGGUUAACUGUCUGAUCUUCUAUUAGGAGUAUGUUAUAUUGUGCAAUGUGGUGCUCAAUUAACGUUUGGUUCAUUUGUUGUGGUGUUUAAUUAACUGCUUGGUUCAAUUCUGCAAUGCGAUGUUCAACUGUUGUGGCUGCAUUCUGUUAUUGUAUACCAUGGGAGGAAUAAAUCGAAUUUGGCUGCACUUAAUAAAUGAGAAACAUAUACAAGUGCUAUAUUUCCUAGUUCUUAAUCAUGCUUGGUUUGGAUAAAUGGGUUUUCCUAGUUCUUAAUCAUGCUUGGUUUGGAUAAUUGUGUUAUCCUGUGUUUACGCUUUCUGUACUCUGUGCUUGUUUUCAUUUCAUCAUGAUGACUAUGCUUGUGCUCUGCUAUGAUACUUUUGAGUACUUAUUCCGCUGCAAGUAGUUCUUCGCUAAGGAAUUUCCUCACCCACAAAUUCCUCAGUGAAGAAUUUAUCAAAAUCGCCUAUUCACCCCCCCUCUAGUCGAUAUAACGCACUUUCACUCCAUCUUUUGACAAAUCGCAGUGUUACAAGGUUGGCAAAUGGCAAUGUUACUACAUCAACAAAUGUCAAUCUUUCUAGUUUGACAAAUGGCAGCAUACCCAAUAUGACAGAUGCAAAUCGCACCAAAUUGUUUGUAAGUGGUUCACACGGGUCAUCCAAAAGAGCCGUUUGUGUUCAAGAGAUGCACAAAUCCUGCUCUCACUUUGCAUACGGGUGUUCUAUCUAAAACGUUUGCGAUCAAGAGCCAUUAAAACCUAUAGCCAUUAAAACCAAGACACGUGGCGUCACGUGAAUGGUUAACAUAACGCACAUGGUUUGAAUUAUACAAACGUUUGAGAUAUUAAAGUGGCAGCUAUUUUUUCAAAAUGCCUUUGUUGGCUGUUAUUCGAGUGCGCCUUCUCUCAAAAUGGACACGAAAAAUACCACAACAUGUGGGGUGCCAUUCCAUUAUAGCAUGCAAGUUUCAUGAAUUUCAUACGAGUUUUGGAUUUACUAGAAUUUAAAAACGAAGUAUCUCAACGUUUUGCCGGCAAUCAACGGUGCCCUGGUAUUUGAAAUUCAUUCCCAUUUCUUGCAUUGGACCUAAGCAUGCACCCAAGGACAAAGAUUUGAUUUUUUAACCAAUUUAUAUGCACUGGACCAUGUGCAUGUAGUUCAAAUUUGAAUUAUGCACAUAAAUGCAUUGAGAACUCAGUUAAUGCAUAAAAAUGUCCAAACGAACCCUAAAAAUCAUUAAAAAAUAACACAACACUCCUGUUAUUCUAUGUUGACGCGAGAAAAAAUUUGAAAGCAAUAAGAGGCAAUGGAUAUCGUUUCGUCCCCAAAGGUGGGGCGUUCCCUACUGAAACCAUCAUGCUUGUUGUGAGAAGCUCUGGUAUGUGAGAAGCAUAUACCCAAACCUGCCCCAAAUGGGACAAAAAAUUUACCACGACAUGUUGCCGGUCCAUGAUAGCAUGCCAAGUUUCAUGAAUUUCAGACGGGUUUUGGAUUUACUAGAAUUUAAAAACCAGGUAUCUCAAUGUUUGCGGCCGAGUGACGGUGGCAGGGUAUUUGACAUUCAUUCCCAUUUCUUGCAUGGGACCUAAGCAUGCACCCAAGGACAAAGAUUUGAUUUUUUAACCAAUUUAUAUGCACUGGAGCAUGUGCAUGUAGUUCAAAUUUGAAUUAUGCACAUAAAUGCAUUGAAAACUCACUUAAUGCAUAAAAAUGUCCAAACAAACCCCGAAAAAUCACAAAAAAUAACACAACACUCCUGUUGUUCUAUGUUGACACGAGAAAAAAAAUUGAAAUCAAUAAGAGGCAAUGGAUACCGUUUCGUCCCCAAAGGUGGGGCGUUCCCUACUGAAACCAUCAUGCUUGUUGUGAGAAGCUCUGGUUUGUGAGAAGCAUAUACCCAAACCUGCCCCAAAUGGGACAAAAAAUUACCACGGCAUGUUGAUGCCGCUCCAUGAUAGCAUGCCAAGUUUCAUGAAUUUCAGACGAGUUUUGGAUUUACUAGAAUUUAAAACCAUGUAUCUCAAUGUUUGCGGCCGAGUGACGGUGGCAGGGUGUUUGACAUUCAUUCUCAUUUCUUGCAUGGGACCUAAGCAUGCACCCAAGGACAAAGAUUUGAUUUUUCAACCAAUUUAUAUGCACUAGAGCAUGUGCAUGUAGUUCAAAUUUAAAUUAUGCACAUAAAUGCAUUGAAAACUCACUUAAUGCAUACAAAUGUCCAAACGAACCCCGAAUAAUUCCAAUUCUUUUAUGACACACAUAUAGUUGCAUGUUCACUGCAGAUAAAAAGGUCUAGCAAUUCAAACACCGUCCAUGGCCGCUGUGACCCCAUUAUGUAAUUCAAAUCAAGACGAAAAAUCAAGUAGAUCCCACACAGUUUAUUAUAACCAACCGUGUGAGAUGCAACACAAAAUAUCUUGGAGCACCGUCGGAGUAUAGUACGCAUACGACUUACGCGAGAAGGUGCGACGCCUACAGUCCACAGCCCGCUCUGAAUAAGGGACCGUGUCUGGUGACACUUUGCGCGCCAGUUUUUUCGUUGAAGCAAUUCCAAAUUUUCGGCUUCCGUGGAAAUAUCUUCCUCCCCGCCCCCUCCCCCUUACCAAAAGCCACAUUUCCCCUGUUUCCGCCUUCCUUUCCAAGUUGAAACCUUCACUCCUUGCUUGCAGCGCCGCCUCCUCGCCGGCGACCCUCCUUCACGCUGCUCGGCCUCGCCUAUCCAGGCAGGUAAUCCACACCCGACCCCCAUCCUCCUCCUCCUUCCACAUCCCACAUGCCCCGACCGCCGGCGCGAGCGCAACACCUUCCACCCAAAUCACCGACCCCUCCACCAAAUAAGCGCCGGCCUAAGCCAUGGUGCAUGCCAGUAUAGCCAGGAUCUCAAGGAGCAUUUGGCAGCGGAGAAGCAAAUCGCGGGCGCACGCGCGGAUGAGGUCGCGAUGGCUGCCAUUCGUGCUGACCCCCAGGUCUUGGAGGAGCACCUCGCCGUCGAGGCCACCAUUGACACCUCGCGUGCGCACGCCGUGACGCGGUUGGCUGCUUUAAACGACAGUUCGUGGCAUUUUCUCGAGGCCACCGUCAGUGCCUUCGACGAAGACUACGAGGUGUUUUCUCAGCGUGCACGUGCUUACCUCAUCUCAAGAGCCAGCAGGUUGGUGCCCGGAGCGGCUCUGGCAAAUCACCACUACAACGAGGGCACCCACAAUGCGGAGGCCUCGCCCUCUUCCAUGUACAAGGAGCCAAUCGUCAUCGAUAUCUCUGGCAAUGAGGAGUAGCUUGUCUUAUUAGCUCACUAUAAGGACCCAUGUUCAGUUUGCUAGCUACUGCCUUUCCUUAACAAAUUCUAGUGAAUUGUGCUAUCUAUUUUUACCAUGCAAUCUUUUGCUAUAGUGUAUAUGUUCUAUAUGUCAUGCAAUGUGGUGUUCAGUUAACUGCUUGAUUCAAUUCUGCAAAUGUGAUGUUCAAUUCUUCAGGGUGCAAUAUUUCCAAGUUGUUAAGCAUGCUUGGUUUGGUUAACUGUCUGAUCUUCUAUUACGAGUAUGUUAUAUUGUGCAAUGUCGUUCUCAGUUAGCGUUUGGUUCAUUUGUUGUGGUGUUUAGUUAACUGCUUGGUUCAAUUUUGCAAUGUGAUGUUCAAUUGUUGUGGCUGCAUUCUGUUAUUGUAUACCAUGUGAGGAAUAAAUCAAAUUUGGCUGUACUAAAUACAUGAGAAACAAAUACAAUUGCUAUAUUUCCAAGUUGUUAAGCAUGCUUGGUUUGGUUAACUGUCUGAUCUUCUAUUAGGAGUAUGUUAUAUUGUGCAAUGUGGUGCUCAAUUAACAUUUGGUUCAUUUGUUGUGGUGUUUAGUUAACUGUUUGGUUCAAUUCUGUAAUGCGAUGUUCAAUUGUUGUGGCUGCAUUCUGUUAUUGUAUACCAUGGGAGGAAUAAAUCGAAUUUGGCUGCACUUAAUACAUGAGAAACAUAUACAAGUGCUAUAUUUCCUAGUUCUUAAUCCUAGUUCUUAAUGUGCUUAUUUAUCAUCAACAUAUUUUAUGAUAGCAUGCGAACCCUUACGUAACCUGAUGACUAACUACCUUAUAUGUGUUGCAGGGAAACAAUGGGUGGCACUGAGGUUUACAAGAUGGUACUAACUAUUAUACCUUGCCUUUUUUAUUUCUUUGCCCCAUUUCCAAUAUAGAGAAGAUAUUUAUGCACAUCCUUGUUUUCAGGGUUCACUGAUGAUUACCUCUCAAACCACCUCUGUGGUCAGGAGGCGAUGAAAGUUUUCAUACAACACCCAUGGUUCAAUAUUGAAGUGUUCCUGAAGAGGUCGAAGGAUGGACGGUCAAACAUCCACAGGCACUGGCCUAAAGUUGCAAAGACCUUCAACAUGAAUGAAGGCUCAAUAUUCGCCUUCCGCUUCAGCAGUUUUCCAGAUGAGAUGCAUCUCUCUAUGUACCGUCUAUGAUGCUAAUUUCGAAAGGUUAUAGAUGUUGCAUGUGAAACUUGCUGCUAGUGCAGUUGUGUAAUAGGGUAGCUGAGUGCUGAAGCUAUAUCAUGUUGUACUCCGAUGUAUUUCAAUUAUGAAAUCCUGCUUCCUUAAUAUGGGAAUGGAAUAUAUUAUCUACUUAAUAUGAAUGUCAAUUAGAUUAGUAAAUGGAUUAUUAAUAAUAGGGUAAUUAGCCCGCUAAUUGGGUUUUCCUAUUGCAAACGGUUAUUGAGAAAACACCGUGGGCGAUGACCUCAGGCAAUGCACACAGUUUCUAGGAAUAAACCAUGUUGGAUCAAUGAACAAUCACACACGACAUUCUCUUGAAAACUGUUUGCGUUAUGCCACCUUGCGCAAACGUUUUCUUUGGAGUGACUGUGUGGGAUGUAUAUACGAACGGAAACGUUUAGCGGUGACUGACUGUGUGGGAUGUACUUACAACCGGAAAUGAUUUCGCCUGUAUAAUUAUAUUUUUUUAGCACUACUGUACGUAUUUCUGUAUUUGAGUGCUCGCGGGUCGCACACGAUCUCAUUUUGCCGAGCGUGUGUGCCAGGAGGGCAUAUCCCCGACGGUUUCUGGGUCCUGUGGGAAGGACCCCCUAUCGCCCACACUCACUAGGUGACGGUUCCGAACGCCGUCGUGGAAAGGGGUUAAAAUCCGUUUGUAUAGCACCGACGCAUACCAGUGAUCUGAUCAUAAACUCAAAGUUCAUCGGAUCCCAACAAACACACUGCAAAAAGAGUUACAUCAAAUACAUCUCCAAGAGACCAUUGUAUUGAGAAUCAAAAGAGAGAUAGGAAGCCAUCUUUCUACUAACUACGGACCCGUAGGUCUACAAUGAACUACUCACGCAUCAUCGAAGAGGCACCAAUGAGGAUGAUGAACCCCUCCGUGAUGGUGUCUAGAUUGGAUCUGUGGUUUCUGGAACUUGCGGCGGUUGGAAUUGAUUUUCGUCGGCUCCCGUAGGGUUUCUGGAAUAUUGGGGUAUUUAUAGAGCAAAGAGGCGGUGCGGGAGGCCACCAAGGUGGGCACAAUCCACCAGGGCGCGCCUGGGACCCCAGGCGCGCCCAGGUGGGUUGUGCCCCCCUCGGGGCGCCCCACUGGUACUUCUUUGGCCCAACGUGUGUCUUCUGGCCCAGAAAAAUUCUCCAAAAAGUUUCGCUGCGUUUGGACUCCGUUUGGUAUUGAUUUUCUGCAGGUAAAAGACAAGCAAAAAACAACAACUGGCACUGGGCACUAUGUAAAUAGGUUUGUCCUAAAAAAUGUUAUAAAGUUGCUAUAAAAUGAUUGUAAAACAUCCCAGAAUGAUAAUAUAAUAGCAUGGAACAAUAAAAAAUUAUAGAUACGUUGGAGACGUAUCACAUACCAAACAGACCAACUGGAAUCGGCGAUAAGAUGAACAAUCAAUAGGGUGGCUCAAUGACUCCAAAGACAAAGCCCUUAAGGGGGAAACAAUAUCAAAGAUAUCAUUGUCGUGCGAUCAAUGGUUUCUCUUAGUCUUUCGCCUGGUGCACAUGAGAUGAUACGAUGUAGGAGCUUCACAAUGACACCUCCAAGGACAAAAAUGGCCCCCGAAGGCAUCACCAUUAUCUAUGCCGACAAGGCAGGCACAAGACUUUGACCUAAAGCAUCACAGACCAGACAUCCCCACAUAUCUUGGUCGCUGACCAUCGUAGAUCAUAAACGAAUCCCAUGCUAUACGUAAAUGAAUCCCUAACUUCUUAUCUAAGCUUCGAUGAGCACCCUAAGUCGAUCUAAUUGACCCUGCGAUAUCGUACAAAGCUUAUAUUCCCCUUUUAGGAUGACCGCCACUCGAGAUGGCAGGCCAAGAGCUUGGCCUCGGUGGCGGGCGGAUUCUAUUGGCGACCGCCGACCAUUUGAGGCAGCGGAACUGCGUUUUGGCAGGUGUAUGGGAUCGCAAGGGGGCAAGGGCGCAUGAGCUCGAGGAGGAAGACGCGGGAGGAAGGUGAAAUGCGAGCGUAAAGGCCUCCUCACCACUUUGCUUUGCUUUGCUUUGUUUGCCAAAUAUGAGCCAGACCAGACCACCCCCCAUGGCAGGCACCCCCGUCAACCACACGGCGGGAACUACCUCGACUCGAGUAAUAGUGCGUGCAUAGUUGGAUAUUCAAUGUCAACAUCUUAUUUUCUUUUCUUUUUCACGCCGCUUUGCUACGAUACACAUAAGCAGUAACAAGGAACAACACAAGGAGAAGCAGAUAACAAGCAAUGACAAGCAGUCAACACCACUAGGUAGACCCACAAGAGUACAAGGAUAUCCAACACCAAGUAAUUGAAGAACUAGGAGAGUCACAACCACCGUCCAAGGGCUCCCCAGUACCUAGCCACAACACAACAAAGAGAGGCGCGGACCGUGCCGAAGAGCAAUGUUUUGUCGAGACAGUCAUGCACCUCCUUUGGGCUAGGCCACAUCACGUCUGCCGUCACAAUAGAGAGAACCAAUACACUAUGUGAGGCAAAAAGAAAACUCAAGGCUCGCGAUGGGCACCAAUUUUUUUGACCACCCAUCACCCACUUGAUCACCACUGUGGAGGACAUCACCAACGUCCUUGAGAGGAACAAGGAGUACCUUGACGAGGAGAUGGGCGAGUCGGCAAAUUAGUUGCCCACCAGCCACAACACCUCCCCGUCUGUGGCAGGCAACCUUGGUCCAAUCGUGCUGCAUGGUAGGCACGCCGGAUACGAGCCAGGAGGAAAGCGGCGAGAUAGUAUUCAGUGAUUAGGAGAUCAAAGUGCUUGCCAGGCGGUCUUGGACGAUCUUGAUCAUGCUGCAGCCCGGCUAAAAAUCCUAUCGUCAGUCAUAAACACGGUUUCUAAAGAAAAGAAACACUUGGAGCGAAGGGCAUCUGAGCUAGAAGAGGCCGAGGGGCUGUGGCGAACUCGCCAUCCGAUUAGAAAGAUCAUUUUGGGCAAGGGCAAGGCCGGCCUAUCGAGGAAAAGAAGAAAGAUGAGCAAAGCAAUCGAGAUGCCACAGUCACAAGCUCGGAGUCCCAUCGCACGCUGGCAGAGAAUAUGCAUUCAGCGGCAGGGGCCCUGGUUAGGAUCAACUUCUCAGAUGGACAUCCAGACAAGAAUCGGUGGGAGAAAGGGUCUCAAGGAGGGAGGCAGCUUGCCACCGCGAACCUCCGCUCCCCGCUUCAUCCGCAUCUAUAGUAAUUAUAUCAUAGUGUCCGAACAUGCAAAUGUUGAAUGGUGCACUUGACCCAACAUCACGAAGAAUAUUGAGACAAGAUGGAAUGCAGAGACGCCGUGGGAGGUGAUGACAACUUGUGUGAGGAUAAGGUGACAGAGUGCGGAACGGUCUGUAAUUUUAUUUUAUUCAGAAUUUUUGGUCUGUUAUUUGGGAAAACCGGUCAUCCUGCGCAAGGACAUUGUUGAGCAGAAUCCUGCGACGUCCGAGGAAAUUAUCCAAAUGCAUGCAUCAACAGACUUGUCACGGCGCUACUCAUGAGGAUGAUGAGGUUCAACAUUUGUGGGCGAUUCGAUUCGAAUAAGUAGAAUUCAACAAACUCGACAUGGAAUGGAAUGGAAGAGAAAGAAAACAAGCAACGCGUGUGUUUGGCGGUAAAAAGGAAGCAAGUUGAAGCAUGGCCGGCCUCUUGGUAAAUACUACUCCCUUUAUAAACUAAUAUAAGAGCGUUUAGAUCACUAUCUCUUAUAUUAGUUUACGAGAGAGUAGUACAGUGUAGACAGUAGUAGGAAAAAGAGACUCUGAAUGACAGAAGCUGUUCUGUUGGUCCCCUCCCCCCUCCCCUCAUUUCAUUUCAUUUUCACUGCAGCAUGCAUGGUACUACAGUAAAGACAGUGGUAGUGGAGGAGCCUGCUAAUUUAUUUGCCUGCCCAAGCCUUUCCGUGCACGGCACAGACGGAUAGGAUCAAUUGCGUUGCGUUGCGGUUGCGUUUGCGUUUGCGUGUCUACUGUGUACCAGUGUACGGGAAGGUGAAUUGAUGAGCCCUCUGACUUUUCUUCGUUUCCUUUCCGUGGAACAGAGCAGGAGCAGAGCAGCUGCUCCGCCUUCACUUUCUCCGAUCUCAUUUUCAUCUCAUCUCAUCCACGCCAACGGACGGACGGGCCCAUCUCUUUCCCAAUUUCGUCGUCCUCGUCGUCGUCUUCUUAUUCUUUCCGUGUCCGUCCACCAUUGCUGCUUAUUUCUUUCUUUAUUUCUUUCUUGUGAUCAAUCUACCUAUCUAUCUGCUUCUGCUUCUUCUUCUUCUUCUUCUUAACACUGAACGACAAUGUGGCUUGGGAUCUCCAUCUCCAAGCAAGGACAAGGACAAGGACAAGGAGCGGCGGCUGUAGCAGUGGUCGCCAUGCUCGGCCUCUGCACCAUAUCCAUACCCAUGUCGAUGCUGCCUCUCGCCGCACCCACCAUCCACCACGGUACAGUACAUACAUAUUCUUCCCGAUCGAUCCAUCUUCUCCUCCAUGUCGAUCGAUCCAUCUUCUUGUUAUGUGCUGUGCAUGUGCUUGGCUCAUUUUGGGAUGUGCAGAAGGAGGCGCUCAAGGCGGAGGGGGGAACCCAAACCCAGCCAACGCGCUGGUGGCGCUGGUGAACGCCGACCGGGCAGCCGCCAAGCUACCCGCCCUCCGCACCACCAAGGGCCUCGGCUGCAUGGCGCUGCAGUGCAUCGCCCGCUGCCUCGCCCUCUCCCCCGCCACCGCCUGCGCCGCCGACGGCACGCUGGCGCCGCCCUGCCACCCGCCGGAGACUGACAUCACCGAGGUCUACGCCGCCAACUGCGGGGUCGAGCUGCCCACGGUCGACGUCGUCUCCGGCCGCAUCCUCGGCUGCAGCAGCCAAAGCUCCGACGGCGUCAGCGGGGACGCGCUCCACAUGGCCAACGCCACCGUGGUGCGCGGCAGGGAGCACGCGCAGGUGGGCGCCGGCGUCGACCGCGGCGGCUUCUGGUGCCUCCUCUUCAGCAGCGGCAGCCCCAACUCCAGCUUCCAGCUGGAGGCCGCCGGCAGGGGCAUCGCCCAGCAGCACGGCUGCUUCAGCGACCCCGACGCCACCCUCUCCUGCACCACCUCCGCCGGCCACCACCAAACCAGACGACUCACCGCCGGAGUCACGUCCUUUGCCUUGGCUGCUUCCACUCUGCUUUUCCUCCUCUAGUCUAGUCUAGUAAUGAAUAAGCUAGCAGAGACACCCUAGAAGAUACUAGUAUUACUCGGACUUGUAACUUUGCUAUUCAAACAGUCUGUCAGUCAGUGAUGAGUGUGAUCAUUUUUCAAAACAUUUGGGAUUCAUCUAAAUUUGCCACUGCAAAUCCAAAAUGCAAAAAGCACAAACAAACAAAUAAGCAGCUAGUAGUAUAUUUCAGUAAGUACUAGGAUUGGAUUGAGCAGUCCAUGUUCAUCGUGUAUAUAUAGCACACUACCCAAGUUCAUCAUGAGCUGCUGCUGCAACUUAGUAAAAAUUAUGUCAAUCCUACAUAUAUUCCUUAUCAAGCCAAACUAAAUUAUACAACAAGGAGAGGCGAGGCGAGGCAAUUAUGAUCCCUUUGAUCGAAGCGAGACACUGCAAAACAAAGGGCUGCUCCUCAGCUCACUCUACCAUUUUUGAGCUAGUUUAC